rnacentral:rRNA from 1 species
UAGAGUUUGAUCCUGGCUCAGGACGAACGCUGGCGGCGCGCUUAACACAUGCAAGUCGAGCGAGAACCUGGGCUUCGGCCCUGGGGACAGCGGCGAACGGGUGAGUAACACGUGGGUAAUCUGCCCUUGACAUCGGGAUAGCCCGGGGAAACCCGGAUUAAUACCGAAUAGCCUCCGGAGCCUUCGGGCGCCGGAGAAAAGGUAGCUUCGGCCUCUGGUCAAGGAUGAGCCCGCGGCGGAUUAGCUUGUUGGCGGGGUAACGGCCCACCAAGGCGACGAUCCGUAGCUGGUCUGAGAGGACGAUCAGCCACACUGGGACUGAGACACGGCCCAGACUCCUACGGGAGGCAGCAGUGGGGAAUCUUGCGCUAAUGCGGGAAACCGUGACGCAGCGACGCCGCGUGGGGGAAGAAGGCCUUCGGGUUGUAAACCUCUUUCAGGAGGGACGAAGCUACUCGGGUUAAUAGCCCAGAGGGUGACGGUACCUCCAGAAGAAGCCCCGGCUAACUACGUGCCAGCAGCCGCGGUAAUGCCCAAUCGCC